rnacentral:rRNA from 1 species
GACGAACGCUGGCGGCGUGCUUAACACAUGCAAGUCGAACGGAAAGGCCCUGCUUUUGUGGGGUGCUCGAGUGGCGAACGGGUGAGUAACACGUGAGUAACCUGCCCUUGACUUUGGGAUAACUUCAGGAAACUGGGGCUAAUACCGGAUAGGAGCUCCUGCUGCAUGGUGGGGGUUGGAAAGUUUCGGCGGUUGGGGAUGGACUCGCGGCUUAUCAGCUUGUUGGUGGGGUAGUGGCUUACCAAGGCUUUGACGGGUAGCCGGCCUGAGAGGGUGACCGGCCACAUGGGGACUGAGAUACGGCCCAGACUCCUACGGGGGGCAGCAGUGGGGAAUAUUGCACAAUGGGCGGAAGCCUGAUGCAGCAACGCCGCGGGCGGGAUGACGGCCUUCGGGUUGUAAACCGCUUUCGCCUGUGACGAAGCGGGAGUGACGGUAAUGGGUAAAGAAGCACCGGCUAACUACGU